GUUGGCGGCGUGGAUUAGGCAUGCAAGUCGAACGAGAAAACACCCUUCGGGGUGUGAGUAAAGUGGCGAACGGGUGAGUAACGCGUGGGGAACCUGCCCUUGAGUGGGGGAUAACGCUCCUAACGGAGCGCUAAUACCGCAUAACACCGGAGCCUGGCAUCGGGCCCCGGUCGAAGAUGGCCUCUGUUUCAAGCUGUCGCUUAAGGAUGGCCCCGCGUCCGAUUAGCUUGUUGGUGGGGUAAAGGCCUACCAAGGCGACGAUCGGUAGCCGGCCUGAGAGGGUGUCCGGCCACACUGGGACUGAGAUACGGCCCAGACUCCUACGGGAGGCAGCAGUCGAGAGGCUUCCACAAUGGGGGAAACCCUGAUGGAGCGACGCCGCGUGGGUGAGGAAGGUCUUCGGAUCGUAAAACCCUGUCAGUAGGGACGAAAACCGGAUUGGCUAAUACCCUUUCCGCUUGACGGUACCUGCAGAGGAAGCUCCGGCUAACUCCGUGCCAGCAGCCGCGGUAACACGGAGGGAGCAAACGUUGUUCGGAAUCACUGGGCGUAAAGGGCGCGUAGGCGGCUUCAUCAGUCGGGGGUGAAAUCCUGUGGCUCAACCAUAGGCCUGCCCUCGAAACUAUGAAGCUUGAGGCCGUGAGAGGAAAGCGGAAUUC
rnacentral:rRNA from 1 species